rnacentral:rRNA from 1 species
UACGAAAGGGGCUAGCGUUGUUCGGAAUUACUGGGCGUAAAGCGCACGUAGGCGGCCUAGCAAGUUGGGGGUGAAAUCCCAGGGCUCAACCCUGGAACUGCCUUCAAAACUGCUAAGCUUGAGGAUGUGAGAGGUUGGCGGAAUUCCGAGUGUAGAGGUGAAAUUCGUAGAUAUUCGGAAGAACACCAGUGGCGAAGGCGGCCAACUGGCACAUUUCUGACGCUGAGGUGCGAAAGCGUGGGGAGCAAACAGG